rnacentral:siRNA from 1 species
AUGGAUGAACUACAAAAUGAUCAA